GAGAAAUUUGGAUUAAUACCGCAUAGAAUUAUUAGUUGGCAUCAGCUUGAUAAUUAAAGUUUCGGCGGUAAAAGAUGAGUAUGCGUUCUAUUAGCUAGAUGGUAAGGUAACGGCUUACCAUGGCAACGAUAGAUAGGGGCCCUGAGAGGGGGAUCCCCCACACUGGUACUGAGACACGGACCAGACUCCUACGGGAGGCAGCAGUGAGGAAUAUUGGACAAUGGGCGAGAGCCUGAUCCAGCCAUGCCGCGUGCAGGAAGACUGCCCUAUGGGUUGUAAACUGCUUUUAUACAGGAAGAAACUCCUCUACGUGUAGAGGCUUGACGGUACUGUAAGAAUAAGGAUCGGCUAACUCCGUGCCAGCAGCCGCGGUAAUACGGAGGAUCCAAGCGUUAUCCGGAAUCAUUGGGUUUAAAGGGUCCGUAGGUGGAUAAUUAAGUCAGGGGUGAAAGUCUGCAGCUCAACUGUAGAAUUGCCUUUGAAACUGGUUAUCUUGAGUUAUUAUGAAGUAGUUAGAAUAUGUGGUGUAGCGGUGAAAUGCAUAGAUAUCACAUAGAAUACCAAUUGCGAAGGCAGAUUACUAAUAAUAUACUGACACUGAUGGACGAAAGCGUGGGGAGCGAACAGGAUUAGAUACCCUGGUAGUCCACGCCGUAAACGAUGGUUACUAGUUGUUCGAACUUCGGUUUGAGUGACUAAGCGAAAGUGAUAAGUAACCCACCUGGGGAGUACGUUCGCAAGAAUGAAACUCAAAGGAAUUGACGGGGGCCCGCACAAGCGGUGGAGCAUGUGGUUUAAU
rnacentral:rRNA from 1 species